rnacentral:tRNA from 1 species
GGCGCAGUGCUGGAAUUGGUAUACAGACAGGUCUUAAACACCUGGGCCCAUGAGGGAUUGAGGGUUCAACUCCCUCCUGCGUCA